rnacentral:rRNA from 1 species
GACUAGCUGAGAGAGGUGCAUGGCCGUCGUCAGUUCGUACUGUGAAGCAUCCUGUUAAGUCAGGCAACGAGCGAGACCCACGCCAACAGUUGCCAGCUCGUCCUCCGGGAUGGUGGGGACACUGUUGGGACCGCCUCUGCUAAAGAGGAGGAGGGAAUGGGCAACGGUAGGUCAGCAUGCCCGAAUUAUCUGGGCUACACGCGGGCUACAACGGGUGGGACAAUGGGUAUCGACACCGAAAGGUGAAGGCAAUCUCCUAAACCCAUCCGUAGUUCGGAUUGAGGGCUGCAACUCGCCCUCAUGAAGCUGGAAUCCGUAGUAAUCGCGUUUCAACAGAACGCGGUGAAUACGUCCCUGCUCCUU